AUUGAACGCUGGCGGCAGGCCUAACACAUGCAAGUCGAGCGGAUGAAGGGAGCUUGCUCCUGGAUUCAGCGGCGGACGGGUGAGUAAUGCCUAGGAAUCUGCCUGGUAGUGGGGGAUAACGUCCGGAAACGGGCGCUAAUACCGCAUACGUCCUGAGGGAGAAAGUGGGGGAUCUUCGGACCUCACGCUAUCAGAUGAGCCUAGGUCGGAUUAGCUAGUUGGUGGGGUAAAGGCCUACCAAGGCGACGAUCCGUAACUGGUCUGAGAGGAUGAUCAGUCACACUGGAACUGAGACACGGUCCAGACUCCUACGGGAGGCAGCAGUGGGGAAUAUUGGACAAUGGGCGAAAGCCUGAUCCAGCCAUGCCGCGUGUGUGAAGAAGGUCUUCGGAUUGUAAAGCACUUUAAGUUGGGAGGAAGGGCAGUAAGUUAAGACCUGCUGUUUUGACGUUACCAACAGAAUAAGCACCGGCUAACUUCGUG
rnacentral:rRNA from 1 species